GAUGAAGAACGUAGCGAAAUGCGAUACGUAAUGUGAAUUGCAGAAUUCAGUGAAUCAUCGAAUCUUUGAACGCACAUUGCGCCCGCCAGUAUUCUGGCGGGCAUGCCUGUUCGAGCGUCAUUUCAACCAUCAAGCCCUAGGCUUGCGUUGGAGCCCUGCGGCUGCCGCAGGCCCCUAAAAGCAGUGGCGGGCUCGCUAUCACACCGAGUGCAGUAGAUUACUCUUCGCUCAGGGCGUGUGGCGGGUUCCAGCCGUGAAACCCCCUACUUCUCAAGGUUGACCUCGGAUCAGGUAGGAAUACCCGCUGAACUUAAGCAUAUCAAUAAGCGGAGGA
rnacentral:misc_RNA from 1 species